GACAGGGGAUGCAAGCGUUACUCGGCAUUACUGGGCGUAAAGCGUCUGCAGGCGUCUCGCCACGUCUGGUGUCAAAUAACGGAGCUCAACUCCGUUCACGUGCCGGAAACGAGCGAGAUUGAGUCAUUGAAAGGCAUCUGGAAUGUCGUGUGUAGGGGUAAAAUCCGUAGAUCCACGAUGGAACGCCAAAAGCGAAGGCAGGAUGCUGGCAAUGUACUGACGCUCAGAGACGAAAGCGUGGGGAGCAAACAGG
rnacentral:rRNA from 1 species